GGGCAUACGCCCGUAAGAAAUGACGGAUUAACUACCCUAUUGUUGUACAAUCGGCGGACAUACUAAGGUUCGAAACCGUAAACGGGUUUACCGACGUAAAGGGAGUGGGGGAUCGGCCGUCCGUAAGUUAGGCAGCGAGGGCGGGUAACGGCCCACCUGGCCGACGAUCGGUAGGGGUUCUGAGAGGAAGGUCCCCCACAUUGGAACUGAGACACGGUCCAAACUCCUACGGGAGGCAGCAGUGAGGAAUAUUGGUCAAUGGGCGAGAGCCUGAACCAGCCAAGUAGCGUGCAAGGAUGACGGCCCUAUGGGUUGUAAACUGCUUUUAUGCGGGGAUAAAGUGCGGCACGCGUGCCGUUUUGUAGGUACCGCAUGAAUAAGGACCGGCUAAUUCCGUGCCAGCCGCAGC
rnacentral:rRNA from 1 species